rnacentral:rRNA from 1 species
UACGGAGGGUGCUAGCGUUGUUCGGAAUUACUGGGCGUAAAGGGCGCGUAGGCGGCCCGCUAAGUCGAACGUGAAAUCCCCGAGCUCAACUCGGGAACUGCGUCCGAUACUGGUGGGCUUGAAUCCGGGAGAGGGAUGCGGAAUUCCAGGUGUAGCGGUGAAAUGCGUAGAUAUCUGGAGGAACACCGGUGGCGAAGGCGGCAUCCUGGACCGGCAUUGACGCUGAGGCGCGAAAGCUAGGGGAGCAAACGGG